AAAAAAGGUAAGCUACUAAGAGCGAAUGGUGGAUGCCUUGACUGGUAAAGGCGAUGAAGGACGUACUAGACUGCGAUAAGCUACGGGGAGCUGUCAAGAAGCUUUGAUCCGUAGAUUUCCGAAUGGGGCAACCCAAUGUAUAGAGAUAUACAUUACCUAUAUAGGAGCGAACGAGGGGAAUUGAAACAUCUUAGUACCCUCAGGAAAAGAAAUCAAUAGAGAUUGCGUCAGUAGCGGCGAGCGAAAGCGCAAGAGGGCAAACCCAGUGCUUGCACUGGGGGUUGUAGGACUGCAAUGUGCAAGAGGUGAGUUUAGCAGAACAUUCUGGAAAGUAUAGCCAUAGAGGGUGAUAGUCCCGUAUGCGAAAAACAAACCUUAGCUAGCAGUAUCCUGAGUAGGGCGGGACACGAGAAAUCCUGUCUGAAGCUGGGUCGACCACGAUCCAACCCUAAAUACUAAUACCAGAUCGAUAGUGCACAAGUACCGUGAGGGAAAGGUGAAAAGAACUGAGGUGAUCAGAGUGAAAUAGAACCUGAAACCAUUUGCUUACAAUCAUUCAGAGCCCUAUGUAGCAAUACAGGGUGAUGGACUGCCUUUUGCAUAAUGAGCCUGCGAGUUGUGGUGUCUGGCAAGGUUAAGCAAACGCGAAGCCGUAGCGAAAGCGAGUCUGAAUAGGGCGCUUAGUCAGAUGCUGCAGACCCGAAACGAAGUGAUCUAUCCAUGAGCAAGUUGAAGCUAGUGUAAGAACUAGUGGAGGACUGAACCCAUAGGCGUUGAAAAGCCCCGGGAUGACUUGUGGAUAGGGGUGAAAGGCCAAUCAAACUUCGUGAUAGCUGGUUCUCUCCGAAAUAUAUUUAGGUAUAGCGUUGUGUCGUAAUAUAAGGGGGUAGAGCACUGAAUGGGCUAGGGCAUACACCAAUGUACCAAACCCUAUCAAACUCCGAAUACCUUAUAUGUAAUCACAGCAGUCAGGCGGCGAGUGAUAAAAUCCGUCGUCAAGAGGGAAACAACCCAGACUACCAGCUAAGGUCCCUAAAUCUUACUUAAGUGGAAAACGAUGUGAAGUUACUUAAACAACCAGGAGGUUGGCUUAGAAGCAGCCAUCCUUUAAAGAAAGCGUAAUAGCUCACUGGUCUAGUGAUUUUGCGCGGAAAAUAUAACGGGGCUAAAGUAAGUACCGAAGCUGUAGACUUGAUUUUAUCAAGUGGUAGGAGAGCGUUCUAUUUGCGUCGAAGGUAUACCGGUAAGGAGUGCUGGAGCGAAUAGAAGUGAGCAUGCAGGCAUGAGUAGCGAUAAUUAAUGUGAGAAUCAUUAACGCCGUAAACCCAAGGUUUCCUACGCGAUGCUCGUCAUCGUAGGGUUAGUCGGGUCCUAAGUCGAGUCCGAAAGGGGUAGACGAUGGCAAAUUGGUUAAUAUUCCAAUACCAACAUUAGUGUGCGAUGGAAGGACGCUUAGGGCUAAGGGGGCUAGCGGAUGGAAGUGCUAGUCUAAGGUCGUAGGAGGUUAUACAGGCAAAUCCGUAUAACAAUACUCCGAGAACUGAAAGGCUUUUUGAAGUCUUCGGAUGGAUAGAAGAACCCCUGAUGCCGUCGAGCCAAGAAAAGUUUCUAAGUUUAGCUAAUGUUGCCCGUACCGUAAACCGACACAGGUGGGUGGGAUGAGUAUUCUAAGGCGCGUGGAAGAACUCUCUUUAAGGAACUCUGCAAAAUAGCACCGUAUCUUCGGUAUAAGGUGUGGUUCGCUUCGUAUUAGGAUUUACUCCGAAAGCGAAGAAACUUACAACAAAGAGUCCCUCCCGACUGUUUACCAAAAACACAGCACUCUGCUAACUCGUAAGAGGAUGUAUAGGGUGUGACGCCUGCCCGGUGCUCGAAGGUUAAUUGAUGGGGUUAGCAUUAGCGAAGCUCUUGAUCGAAGCCCGAGUAAACGGCGGCCGUAACUAUAACGGUCCUAAGGUAGCGAAAUUCCUUGUCGGUUAAAUACCGACCUGCAUGAAUGGCGUAACGAGAUGGGAGCUGUCUCAAAGAGGGAUCCAGUGAAAUUGUAGUGGAGGUGAAAAUUCCUCCUACCCGCGGCAAGACGGAGAGACCCCGUGGACCUUUACUACAGCUUGACACUGCUACUUGGAUAAGAAUGUGCAGGAUAGGUGGGAGGCUUUGAGUAUAUGACGCCAGUUGUAUAUGAGCCAUUGUUGAGAUACCACUCUUUCUUAUUUGGGUAGCUAACCAGCUUGAGUUAUCCUCAAGUGGGACAAUGUCUGGUGGGUAGUUUGACUGGGGCGGUCGCCUCCCAAAUAAUAACGGAGGCUUACAAAGGUUGGCUCAGAACGGUUGGAAAUCGUUCGUAGAGUAUAAAGGUAUAAGCCAGCUUAACUGCAAGACAUACAAGUCAAGCAGAGACGAAAGUCGGUCUUAGUGAUCCGGUGGUUCUGUGUGGAAGGGCCAUCGCUCAAAGGAUAAAAGGUACCCCGGGGAUAACAGGCUGAUCUCCCCCAAGAGCUCACAUCGACGGGGAGGUUUGGCACCUCGAUGUCGGCUCAUCGCAUCCUGGGGCUGGAGCAGGUCCCAAGGGUAUGGCUGUUCGCCAUUUAAAGCGGUACGCGAGCUGGGUUCAGAACGUCGUGAGACAGUUCGGUCCCUAUCUGCCGUGGGCGUAAGAAGAUUGAAGAGAUUUGACCCUAGUACGAGAGGACCGGGUUGAACAAACCACUGGUGUAGCUGUUGUUCUGCCAAGAGCAUCGCAGCGUAGCUAAGUUUGGAAAGGAUAAACGCUGAAAGCAUCUAAGCGUGAAGCCAACUCUAAGAUGAAUCUUCUCUAAGCUCUCUAGAAGACUACUAGUUUGAUAGGCUGGGUGUGUAAUGGAUGAAAGUCCUUUAGCUGACCAGUACUAAUAGAGCGUUUGGCUUAUCUUUAAUAAAGCAU
rnacentral:rRNA from 1 species